CUCCCACCAGAAGUUGAACGGAAUCCUAUGAUUGAAACACAUUAAAGUUCCUACUUCUGAAUUAAAGAAAUAAAUAAACAAAAGAUUCGAGCAAAAAUCGAAAAUUACUGCCUUCACCCAUCUAAGUAUGUUAAAUUAAAAAAUCUUUGGAGCUAUUUUGUGCACAAUCUAUGUGACGUGCGAUAACCAAUCAUUGCCCUUCUCCUCUGUAUAUAUUCUCUUCCAUGAACUCAACGUCUUCACCCUUCCUCCAGUCUUCCCUCUCUGCAACCAUGAUUCUAUCAUCUGGGUUUCCUCCUUCUUCUUCACCUUUCUUUCAAAUGCAUUUCCUUUUUCAUCUAGAUUUUGUCUGCCUUGCAAGUGAUUCUGGGCAAACUCUUUUCCACUGAAUUAAACCAUUUGUUCCUUUAUUUAUUUGGUUUCCUAUAUUCAAGAAAUGGCCAUUCCUUAUCCUCAUUUCAAUUUUAUUGCCUCUGCAUCCAUGGAGACAGGCUUGUCUCCUGUGUUUCCAUCCCCGGUAUUACUGACCCAAGACGAGCUCAAGAAAAUCGCUGCCUAUAAAGCCGUCGAGUACGUCGAAUCCGGCAUGGUUAUCGGUCUUGGCACCGGCUCCACCGACAAACAUGCUGUGGACCGAAUUGGUGAGCUUUUGCGUCAAGGCAAGCUCAAGAACAUUAUAGGCAUACCCACAUAAAACAUGACCCAUGAACAAGCUCUUUCUUUGGGAAUCCCCUUAUCAGACCUUGACUCCUAUCCAAUUAUCGACUUUCAACUGACGGAGCCGAUGAAGUUGAUCCGCAUCUCAAUUUAGUGAAAGGCCGAGGUGGGUCUUUGUUGAGGGAGAAAAUGAUAGAGGGUGCUUGCAAGAAGUUCGUUGUAAUUGUUGAUGAGUCCAAAAUGGUGAAAUAUAUUGGGGGUAGCGGAUUAGCUAUGCCUGUUGAAAUUGUGCCAUUUUGUUGGAAAUUCACUGCCAAGAAGUUGCAAGAGUUGUUUGGGUACGCAGGAUGUGCGGCCAAGCUGAGGACCAAGGGUUCUAACGGCAAGGAGAAUGCUGGGGAGCCUUUUGUUACUGAUAAUGGGUAUUAUAUUGUGGAUUUGUACU
rnacentral:misc_RNA from 1 species